GAUUAACGUUGGCGGCGUGCAUAACACAUGCAAGUUGAGCGUGGCUUUAGUUUACUAAAGUCUAGCAGCGGACGGCUGAGUAAUACUCAGGAACGUACCUCGAAGUGGGGCAUAGCCCAUCGAAAGAUGGGGUAAGUACCGCGAUGUGGUGGGCAACACCAAAGCAGCAAUGCGCUUUGAGAGCGGCCUGAGUCCUAUCAGGUAGUUGGUGAGGUAAUGG
rnacentral:rRNA from 1 species